AGAAGGAAAGAACAUUAAGUGAUUUGGCCCAGGGUCACUGGCACCCAGGCCGUCAAUCACAGUCUCAGUGGCAGAGCAAGGAAUGGAACUGUGACUCUUGGGUAACCAUCCAUGGGAACAUGCUUCAGCUAUCACAUCGUGUAAUGUAUUUUUAAAUACCCCAAAGAGCUCUUGUGGAGAAGCAGAAAUGGACUUCCCAUACGACAGCCUUGAGACUCUUCAGCUGGCCCCUGUCCAAGGUCAAAAGGAAAUCAGGCUAUUUCCUUGGCUUCUCUCCAUGACGAUUCCUGACUUGUGGCCCUGGCAGUCUUGGGAAGACAUCAUCCAGCUUCUUCAAUCCAGACCCUGGGCCCCUCCUUUCCCCAGGAUUGCCCCCACCCAGCCUGGACACAUUGACUGAACUGUUUUCUAGGACACUGGACUCUAUAGAAUGAGCAAACUUUUGUGACUACACCACAGGAACCUGCAGUGGGGCAUAAUGUUGUCAAGCAGAGAGACACAGAAGGGGAAAACAGCAUUCAAACCACCGGGCUCCCCAGGCUGUUCUGACUCUCCUCCUUCUCCACUGAUGUUGACAAAAAGUUGGAUUGUGAUAGAAGCAACCAGCAACCCAAAUCUUGGGUCCCUGGGGGUAGGAGAAUCUAGGAUUCAGCCAGUCCAAGGGAACCAGUCUUGCAUUUGGAACACAGUAGCAGGAUUAUUCUGAGGCACAGAGGAGAGAGAGCAGCACUUGGAAGAAACAAAGGUGAAUCCAGACAAGAGGAAGUUGAUUAAGAAGUAAGUGUGCUUGGAGAUUGAGAGGGUGGUCAAGCCUGGGGUGAUUAACUGGUGUGUCUGAAAAGGCACAUUCCAAAUUGCAUAACAUCUCAGCAUCUCUGGACUGUCAGUGGGGAGGACAAGGUGAGUGUGGGGAGCCCAGG
rnacentral:lncRNA from 1 species